AGAAACUAAGGCUGACCAAACCAUGGGCCUUCAAAGCCCAAAUCAGGAGACUAUCCUCCUAGUUUCUG
rnacentral:tRNA from 1 species